UUACGGCCACAUCAUGUUGAAACACCGGUUCUUGUACGAUCACCAAAGUUAAGCAACAUCAAGCCUGGUCAAUACUUAGAUAGGUGACCACUUGGGGAAUAGCAGGUUCUGUA